GCUGGGUGUGGUGACUCACACCUGUAAUCCCCAGCACUUUGGGAGGCUGAGGUGGGAGAAUUACUUGAGCCCAGGAGUUUGAGACCAGCCUGGGCAACACAGUGAAACCCCAUCUCUU
ensembl:misc_RNA Metazoa_SRP Metazoan signal recognition particle RNA